CUGAGUACUAUGUACUACAACAAAGAACAUAAACAUUUUGGUGGAAAUCUUGCUCGUUUUUGGCAUGGUACGCAGCUGGAGUGAUGAACAGAGAAAAACAAAGGAUUGGAUUCUUAUGUGACAUCUAAACAGAAAGUUAAAAAUGUAGAAAUCAACCUUCAAGCAGUACUGGACUAAAAAAUGUAACUUAAUGUACAUCAUCAGUCCCACUAGCCUUUUGUCAAGACAUUCAUGGAUUGGACAGUUUUGUACAGCUGAGAUCCCAAGCGACUGGAAGGGGGGACCACACCCAAGAGUCUAGUUGGGAAGCCACAAAGGCCUUUUACAACUUGUUUGCAUUUUUGUUAAGGAAUUGUUUAUAGAGAAUUAAACGUGCAUUAUACAGAAUUUGUAUGGAAAGUGCUUUCAAAAAGUAGACUUUCCCUUUUAAUUUUGUCUAUUUGUUCGGAAAGAGUUGAGUUAACGGAAAAUACUCAAAAGAAAUAAAAUACAUCAUGGCAGUGAUUUUAUGGUGACAUAAAUUUGGAAUAAUAUAAGAGAAUGAAGUAUAAAUUAGUUUGCCAUAAUCUAGAAAAAGGUACUAAUGCAAUAGACAUUUGUUUCAAAUAUGCUGACCCUGUCACAUCUAGCAAUUAAUUUGUAAAAAGGCCCUCGUGCUCGCCACUCGCAGGCUGGUAUCUCCUUCCAGUUGCUUGGGGUAGCGGCUGUACAAAGGAGUCCAAGCCACAAAGGCCUUGACAAAAUGCUUCAGUCCAACUGAUGGUAAGAGUAUCGGUCAUACCAGACAGCAGUAAAACAUUCUCAUGUGCAGUCUCUAAUAUAAUAAUAAUAAUUUAUAAUAAUAAUAAUAAUAAUAAGAUUAUUCGUCAUUCGUAAAGGUUUCUCGUGAUUGUUCUCAUUCAAAUAUGGUAUAAAUUCACAUUGAAUGUUUUACUUUCAAUUUAAAAAAAAAAUUAAAGGAAAUCAUUCCAGGCAUUGUUUCAGUGCUUAUUUAUGUCACUAUAGCAUUGCCAAUACUAAUCAGCCAGCUCUUUGUACAGACUCUAUAUAAUAUAGGAUUUGAGGCAUUGCUUGGUGAGGUAUCAAUGUUUAUUUGGUUUGCGGUACACCAUGUGUGUAUCUACU